ensembl:misc_RNA Metazoa_SRP Metazoan signal recognition particle RNA
GUCGGGUGUGGUGGCGCACGCCUGUGAUCCCAGCUACUCAGGAGACUGAGGCAGAAGAAUUUCUUGAACCCGGGAUACGGGGGUUGCAGUGAGCUGAGAUCUCACCAUUGCACUCCAGCCUGGGUGAUAGAGCAAGACUCUGUCUCAA